AGGCUUGUGGUCUAGUGGUAUGACGUUCGCUUCACACGCGAAAGGUCCUGGGUUCGAUCCCCUGCAGGCCUA